GGGCCCGCACAAGCGGUGGAGCAUGUGGUUUAAUUCGAUGAUACGCGAGGAACCUUACCAGGGCUUAAAUGUAGUCUGACAGCUUUAGAGAUAGAGUUUUCUUCGGACAGAUUACAAGGUGCUGCAUGGUUGUCGUCAGCUCGUGCCGUGAGGUGUCAGGUUAAGUCCUAUAACGAGCGCAACCCCUGUCGUUAGUUGCCAGCAUGUCAUGAUGGGGACUCUAACGAGACUGCCGGUGCAAACCGCGAGGAAGGUGGGGAUGACGUCAAAUCAUCACGGCCCUUACGUCCUGGGCCACACACGUGCUACAAUGGCCGGUACAGAGAGCAGCCACGUCGCAAGGCGGAGCGAAUCUAUAAAAUGUACCUCAGUUCGGAUUGUACUCUGUAACUCGAGUGCAUG
rnacentral:rRNA from 1 species